GACGAACGCUGGCGGCGUGCUUAACACAUGCAAGUCGAACGGAAAGGCCUGCUUUCCCUUGUGGGUUGCGGGUACUCGAGUGGCGAACGGGUGAGUAACACGUGAGUGAUCUGCCCCCAACUUGGGUAUAAGCCUGGGAAACUGGGUCUAAUUACCGAUAGGACUGCAGGGUGGUGCCGGUGGUGGAAAACGAUUUUCUAGUGGUUGGGGAUGAGCUCGCGGCCUAUCAGCUUGUUGGUGGGGUAAUGGCCUACCAAGGCGGCGACGGGUAGCCGGCCUGGGGUGGUGGACCGCCACAUUGGGACUGAGAUACGGCCCCGACUCCUACGGGCGGCAGCAGUGGGGAAUAUUGCGCAGUGGGCGGAAGCCUGAUGCAGCGACGCCGCGUGGGGGAUGACGGCCUUCGGGUUGUAAACUCCUUUCGACCGCGAGGAAGCCACCUGGUUGGAAGGGUGGUGACGGUAGUGGUAGAAGAAGCACCGGCUAACUACGUG
rnacentral:rRNA from 1 species